rnacentral:rRNA from 1 species
UACGUAGGGUGCAAGCGUUAAUCGGAAUUACUGGGCGUAAAGCGUGCGCAGGCGGCUAUGCAAGACAGAUGUGAAAUCCCCGGGCUCAACCUGGGAACUGCAUUUGUGACUGCAAGGCUGGAGUACGGUAGAGGGGGAUGGAAUUCCGCGUGUAGCAGUGAAAUGCGUAGAUAUGCGGAGGAACACCGAUGGCGAAGGCAAUCCCCUGGACCUGUACUGACGCUCAUGCACGAAAGCGUGGGGAGCAAACAGG